GAUGAACGCUGGCGGCGUGCUUAACACAUGCAAGUCGAACGAAGAAGAGUUGAAUGAGAGCUUCGGCAGGAUUUCUUCUCAUCUUAGUGGCGGACGGGUGAGUAACGUGUGGGCAACCUGCCCUAUACUGGGGAAUAAUCACUGGAGACGGUGACUAAUACCGCAUGUCAUCACCGGAGGGCAUCCUCUGGUGAAAAAAAGGGUAAUUCGGGUAUAGGGAUGGGCCCGCAUCUGAUUAGCUAGUUGGUGAGAUAACAGCCCACCAAGGCGACGAUCAGUAGCCGACCUGAGAGGGUGAUCGGCCACAUUGGGACUGAGACAGGCCCCAAAUCCUACGGGAGGCAGCAGUGGGGAAUAUUGCACAAUGGGGGAAACCCUGAUGCAGCAACGCCGCGUGAAGGAUGAAGGUUUUCGGAUCGUAAACUUCUAUCAACAGGGAAGAAACAAAUGACGGUACCUGAAUAGAAGCCCGGCUAACUACGUGCCAG
rnacentral:rRNA from 1 species